GAUGAACGCUGGCGGCGUGCCUAAUACAUGCAAGUCGAGCGAACGGACGAGAAGCUUGCUUCUCUGACGUUAGCGGCGGACGGGUGAGUAACACGUGGAUAACCUACCUAUAAGACUGGGAUAACUUCGGGACACCGGAGCUAAUACCGGAUAAUAUUUUGAACCGCAUGGUUCAAUAGAGAAAGACGGUCUUGCUGUCACUUAUAGAUGGAUCCGCGCUGCAUUAGCUAGUUGGUAAGGUAACGGCUUACCAAGGCAACGAUGCAUAGCCGACCGGAGAGGGUGAUCGGCCACACUGGAACUGAGACACGGUCCAUACUCCUACGGGACGCAGCAGUAUGGAAUCUGCCGCAAUGGGCGAAAGCCUUACGGAGCAACGCCGCGUGAGUUAUGAAGGUCUUCGGAUCGUAAUGCUCUGUUAUUAGUGAAGAACAUAUGUGUAAGUAACUGUGCACAUCUUGACGGUACCUAAUCAGAAAGCCACGGCUAACUACGUG
rnacentral:rRNA from 1 species